rnacentral:rRNA from 1 species
AUUGAACGCUGGCGGCAUGCCUUACACAUGCAAGUCGAACGGUAACGGGCCUUCGGGUGCCGACGAGUGGCGAACGGGUGAGUAAUACAUCGGAACGUGCCCGAUCGCGGGGGAUAACGAGGCGAAAGCUUUGCUAAUACCGCAUACGAUCUACGGAUGAAAGCAGGGGACCGCAAGGCCUUGCGCGGACGGAGCGGCCGAUGGCAGAUUAGGUAGUUGGUGGGAUAAAAGCUUACCAAGCCGACGAUCUGUAGCUGGUCUGAGAGGAUGAUCAGCCACACUGGGACUGAGACACGGCCCAGACUCCUACGGGAGGCAGCAGUGGGGAAUUUUGGACAAUGGGCGCAAGCCUGAUCCAGCCAUGCCGCGUGCAGGAUGAAGGCCUUCGGGUUGUAACCUGCUUUUGUACGGAACGAAAAGCCUUCUUUUAAUACAGGAGGGUCAUGACGGUACCGUAAGAAUAAGCACCGGCUAACUACGUG